CCAGUUCCAUCCCGUCCCAAUCCCAUUUCCAUCCCAUCCUAUCCCAAUCCCAUGGAUUCUAUCCUAACCCCACGAAUCCCAUGGAUCCCAUGGAUCCCAUCCCAAUCCCAUCCCAACCCCAUGGAUCCCAUCCAAUCCCAGUCCCGUGGAUUCCAUCCCAAUCUAAUCCCAUCCCAACCCCAUUUCCAUCCCAUCCCAUCCUAUCCCAAUCCCAUGGAUUCCAUCCCAAUUCCAUCCCAACCCCAUGGAUCCCACGGAUCCCAUCCCAAUCCCGUGGAUCCAAUCCCAACCCCACAGAUCUCAUCCCAAUCCCACGGAUCCCACGGAUCCCAUCCCAACCCUAUGGAUCCCAUGGAUCCCAUCCCAAUCCAACGGAUCCUAUCCCAAUCCCACUGAUCCAAUCCCAACCCCACGGAUCUCAUGGAUCCAAUCCCAUGGAUCCAAUCCCACAGAUCCCACGGAUCCCAUCCCAACCCCAUGGAUCCCAUCCCAACCCCAUGGAUCCCACGGAUCCCACAGAUCCCAUCCCAAUCCCACGGAUCCCAUCCCAACCCUAUGGAUCCCAUGGAUCCCAUCCCAACCCUAUGGAUCCCAUGGAUCCAAUCCCAACCCUAUGGAUCCCAUGGAUCCAAUCCCAACCCCACGGAUCCCAUCCCAACCCCACGGAUCCCAUCCCAAUCCCACGGAUCCCAUGGAUCCCAUCCCAACCCCAUGGAUCCCACGGAUCCCACGGAUCCCAUCCCCGUUCCCGCAGGGAAGAAGAACCUGGAGGAGGUCCAGCAGAUGCUGCAGGUGGUGGAGCAGCUCAUGGCCACCCUCAAGAGCCCCAGCGGAUAACAUCCAGGAAAACCCCCGGGAAAAGCAGGAGCCGCCCAGGAAGUGCCUCCCGCAGCACGGAUGGCAGAGCCCGCCCAGGGCCACCCUCCCGCUGUCCCCGUGUCCCCAAAGCCACCCCGCCUGUCCCCUCGGGUGUACCCCCGCCUCCCGGCUGGAGCGGGACAACAGCCGGCCCCGAAUUCCGGGACAACUCGCCAGAAUGUGUGCGUGGAAAUCCAUGGGAAAAGCGGGAUGGGGAGCGGGAAUUCCAUCCCGAGGGGCUGGAAACGCCCGAGGAGGAGGAGGAGGAGGAGGGACAGGGAUGUCCUUGUCCCCAGAGGAAGAGGGACCGCGCUGUCCUUGUCCCCCCCCGCCCCGAAUUUCGGGACAACCCGCCGCUCGUGUGGACGGAAAUCCAUGGAAAAAUCGGGAUGGGGAGCGGGAAUUCCAUCCCGAGGGGUUGGAAUCCAUCACAGCCUCACACAGAGGGGCUGGAAACACCCGAGGAGGAGGGACAGGGAUGUCCUUGUCCCCAGAGGAAGAGAGACCGCGAUGUCCUUGUCCCCCCGGCCCCGAAUUUCAGCACAACUCACUGGUUGUGCGGACGGAAAUCCAUGGAAAAAUCGGGAUGGGGAGCGGGAAUUCCAUCCCGAGGGGCUGGAAACGCCCGAGGAGGAGGAGGAGGAGGAGGGACAGGGAUGUCCUUGUCCCCAGAGGAAGAGAGACCGCGAUGUCCUUGUCCCCCCGGCCCCCCCGGAGCGGGGCAGGGAUUAAUUCCCAGGAUUUAUUCCCGAGAUUUAUUCCCGGGAUUUAUUCCCGAGGUUUAUUCCCGGGAUUUAUUCCUGGGAUUUAUUUCCGAGAUUUAGUCCCGGGAUUUAUUCCCGAGAUUUAUUCCCGGGAUUUAUUCCCAGGAUUUAUUCCCAGGAUUCGUUCCCAGGAUUUAUUCCCGGGAUUUAUUCCCAGGAUUUAUUCCCGAGGUUUAUUCCCAGGAUUCAUUCCCAGGAUUUAUUCCCAGGAUUUAUUCCCAGGAUUCAUUCCCGGGAUUUAGUCCCAGGAUUUAUUCCCGGGAUUUAUUCCCAGGAUUCAUUCCCGGGAUUUAUUCCCAGGAUUCAUUCCCAGGAUUUAUUUCUGGGAUUUAUUCCCGGGAUUUAUUUCCAGGAUUUAUUCCCGAGGUUUAUUCCCAGGAUUCAUUCCCAGGAUUUAUUCCCAGGAUUCAUUCCCAGGAUUUAUUCCCGGGAUUCAUUCCCAGGAUUCAUUCCCAGGAUUUAUUCCCGGGAUUUAUUCCCGGGAUUCAUUCCCGGGAUUCAUUCCCAGGAUUCAUUCCCAGGAUUCAUUCCCAGGAUUCAUUCCCAGGAUUUAUUCCCGGGAUUUAUUCCCAGGAUUUAUUCCCGAG
ensembl:lncRNA